rnacentral:rRNA from 1 species
CCUACGGGUGGCAGCAGUGGGGAAUAUUGGACAAUGGGCGAAAGCCUGAUCCAGCCAUGCCGCGUGUGUGAAGAAGGCCUUCGGGUUGUAAAGCACUUUCAGUGGGGAAGAAAGCCUUGGGGCUAAUACCCUCGAGGAAGGACAUCACCCACAGAAGAAGCACCGGCUAACUCCGUGCCAGCAGCCGCGGUAAUACGGAGGGUGCGAGCGUUAAUCGGAAUUACUGGCGUAAAGCGCGCGUAGGCGGUCUGAUAAGCCGGUUGUGAAAGCCCCGGGCUCAACCUGGGAACGGCAUCCGGAACUGUCAGGCUAGAGUGCAGGAGAGGAAGGUAGAAUUCCCGGUGUAGCGGUGAAAUGCGUAGAGAUCGGGAGGAAUACCAGUGGCGAAGGCGGCCUUCUGGACUGACACUGACGCUGAGGUGCGAAAGCGUGGGUAGCAAACAGGAUUAGAUACCCCAGUAGUC